rnacentral:rRNA from 1 species
CGUAGGGUGCGAGCGUUAAUCGGAAUUACUGGGCGUAAAGCGUGCGCAGGCGGUUUAGUAAGACAGGCGUGAAAUCCCCGGGCUCAACCUGGGAACUGCGCUUGUGACUGCUAAGCUAGAGUACGGCAGAGGGAGGUGGAAUUCCACGUGUAGCAGUGAAAUGCGUAGAGAUGUGGAGGAACACCAAUGGCGAAGGCAGCCCCCUGGGUCGAUACUGACGCUCAUGCACGAAAGCGUGGGUAGCAAACAGGAUUAGAUACCCUGGUAGUCCACGCCCUAAACGAUGUCAACUAGGUGUUGGGAGGGUAAAACCUUUUAGUACCGGAGCUAACGCGUGAAGUUGACCGCCUGGGGAGUACGGCCGCAAGGUUA